UACGUAGGGGGCGAGCGUUGUCCGGAGUUACUGGGCGUAAAGGGCACGCAGGCGGUCUGGCCAGUUCCCGGUGACAGUCCUCGGCUUAACUGAGGAAGAUUCGGGAAGACUGCCCGACUUGAGAACGAGAGAGGGACAGGGAAUCCGGGUGGAGCGGUGAAAUGCGUAGAGAAUCCGGAGGAACACCAAAGGCGAAGGCAAUGUCCUGGCUCGGGGUCUGACGCUCAGGUGCGAAAGCCAGGGGAGCG
rnacentral:rRNA from 1 species